rnacentral:rRNA from 1 species
CCUACGGGGGGCUGCAGUGAGGAAUAUUGGUCAAUGGCCGGAAGGCUGAACCAGCCAUGCCGCGUGAAGGUCAGUGCCCUAUGGGCGUUAAACUUCUUUUGUGCGGGAGCAAUAAUGGUCACGUGUGGCCAGACGAGAGUACCGUACGAAUAAGCAUCGGCUAACUCCGUGCCAGCAGCCGCGGUAAUACGGGGGAUGCAAGCGUUAUCCGGAUUUAUUGGGUUUAAAGGGUGCGUAGGCUGUGAGGUAAGGCAGCGGUGAAAUGCCCCGGCUCAACGGGGUGAAGUGCCAUUGAUACUGCCUGGCUGGAAUGCGGAUGCCGUGGGAGGAAUGUGUGGUGUAGCGGUGAAAUGCAUAGAUAUCACACAGAACACCGAUUGCGAAGGCAUCUCACGAAUCCGCGAUUGACGCUGAUGCACGAAAGCGUGGGUAUCAAACAGGAUUAGAUACCCGUGUAGUC